rnacentral:rRNA from 1 species
AUCUAUCUAGAAACAUUUUCCAAUACUUCUACUUUGUUACGACUUAUCUCAAUUUAUUAAUGAAAGCGACGGGCAAUAUGUACAUAUUUUAAUUUUUAAUCAUUUAAUUAAAUUAAAUUAAAUUACAUUUAAAUCCACUUUCAACUAAUAUUUCAAAUUAAUAUUCAUUUAAAUUAUUUUAUUGUAAUUCAUUAAAUCCUUAAUUAUAAACUACAUCUUGAUUUGAUUUAAUUUUUUAAUAAAAAUUAUAAUAUAUUCAUUUUUUAAAAAUAUAUUUAUAACAACGAUAUAUAAAUUUAAAAAUUAAAUAAAUUUUAUUCGUGAAUUAUCAAUUAAUAAACAAAUUCCUCUAAACAAAAUAAAAUACCGCCAAAUUAUUUAAAUUUCAAAAUAAAUCUAAUUUUUAAGUAUAAUUAAAAAUUUAAUUUUUAUAAUAGGGUAUCUAAUCCUAGUUUAUUAAAAAAUUUUUAUAAAUCAAUCAAAUAAAUUAAAUCAAAAUAUAAUUUCACUUAAAAUUUUAAUAUAUAAUUAUUAUUAAAUAUUAAAAUUAUUAUUAACUGAUAAUAUUUAAUUUAUUAUUUGUAUAACCGCAACUGCUGGCACAAAUUAUGUUAAUAAUUUAAAUAUUAUAAAAUCAUAAAUUAUUAUAUUGUUUAAUAUUAUUUAAUAUAAUUAAAUUAAUAAAUAAUAUUUUUAAAAUAUAAAAUAAAUAC